GGUUAAGCGACUAAGCGUACACGGUGGAUGCCCUGGCAGUCAGAGGCGAUGAAGGGCGUGCUAAUCUGCGAUAAGCGCCGGUAAGGUGAUAUGAACCGUUAUAACCGGCGAUACCCGAAUGGGGAAACCCAGUGUGACUCGUCACACUAUCAUUAACUGAAUCCAUAGGUUAAUGAGGCGAACCGGGGGAACUGAAACAUCUAAGUACCCCGAGGAAAAGAAAUCAACCGAGAUUCCCCCAGUAGCGGCGAGCGAACGGGGAGGAGCCCAGAGCCUGAAUCAGCAUGUGUGUUAGUGGAAGCGUCUGGAAAGGCGCGCGAUACAGGGUGACAGCCCCGUACACAAAAGCGCAUGUGCUGUGAGCUCGAUGAGUAGGGCGGGACACGUGGUAUCCUGUCUGAAUAUGGGGGGACCAUCCUCCAAGGCUAAAUACUCCUGACUGACCGAUAGUGAACCAGUACCGUGAGGGAAAGGCGAAAAGAACCCCGGCGAGGGGAGUGAAAAAGAACCUGAAACCGUGUACGUACAAGCAGUGGGAGCACCCUUUGGGUGUGACUGCGUACCUUUUGUAUAAUGGGUCAGCGACUUAUAUUCUGUAGCAAGGUUAACCGAAUAGGGGAGCCGGAGGGAAACCGAGUCUUAACCGGGCGUUAAGUUGCAGGGUAUAGACCCGAAACCCGGUGAUCUAGCCAUGGGCAGGUUGAAGGUUGGGUAACACUAACUGGAGGACCGAACCGACUAAUGUUGAAAAAUUAGCGGAUGACCUGUGGCUGGGGGUGAAAGGCCAAUCAAACCGGGAGAUAGCUGGUUCUCCCCGAAAGCUAUUUAGGUAGCGCCUCGUGAAUUCAUCUCCGGGGGUAGAGCACUGUUUCGGCUAGGGGGCCAUCCCGGCUUACCAACCCGAUGCAAACUGCGAAUACCGGAGAAUGUUAUCACGGGAGACACACGGCGGGUGCUAACGUCCGUCGUGAAGAGGGAAACAACCCAGACCGCCAGCUAAGGUCCCAAAGUCAUGGUUAAGUGGGAAACGAUGUGGGAAGGCCCAGACAGCCAGGAUGUUGGCUUAGAAGCAGCCAUCAUUUAAAGAAAGCGUAAUAGCUCACUGGUCGAGUCGGCCUGCGCGGAAGAUGUAACGGGGCUAAACCAUG
rnacentral:rRNA from 1 species